UUACGAUCAUAUGAAAUUGAAACCCCGGUUCCCGUACAAUCACCGAAGUUAAGCAACAUCGAUCCUGCUCAGUAUCUAAAUGGGUGACCACUUGGGAAUACCAAGAGUUGUAAG